rnacentral:rRNA from 1 species
UGCCUCAGUAACGGCGAGUGAAGCGGCAACAGCUCAAAUUUGAAAUCUGGCCUUCUGGUCCGAGUUGUAAUUUGUAGAGGAUGCUUCGAGCGUGGUCCGGUCUAAGUUCCUUGGAACAGGACGUCAUAGAGGGUGAGAAUCCCGUAUGUGACUGGGUGCCUAAGCUCAUGUGAAGCUCCUUCGACGAGUCGAGUUGUUUGGGAAUGCAGCUCUAAAUGGGUGGUAAAUUUCAUCUAAGGCUAAAUACUGGCCAGAGACCGAUAGCGCACAAGUAGAGUGAUCGAAAGAUGAAAAGCACUUUGGAAAGAGAGUUAAACAGUACGUGAAAUUGUUGAAAGGGAAGCGCUUGCAACCAGACUUGCAUGCAGUUGAUCAUCCGAUGUUCUCACCGGUGCACUCGAUUGUAUUCAGGCCAGCAUUGGUUUUGGUGGUUGGAUAAAGGCCUAGGGAAUGUAGCUCCUCUCGGGGAGUGUUAUAGCCCUAGGUGCAAUGCAGCCUACCGGGACCAAGGACCGCGCUUCGGCUAGGAUGCUGGCGUAAUGGUUGUAAGCGACCCGUCUUGAAACACGGACCAAGGAGUCUAACAUCUAUGCGAGUGUUUGGGUGCAAAACCCAUACGCGGAAUGAAAGUGAACGGAGGUGAGAACCCUUAAGGGUGCAUCAUCGACCGAUCCUGAUGUCUUCGGAUGGAUUUGAGUAAGAGCAUAGCUGUUGGGACCCGAAAGACAGUGAACUAUACUUGAAUAGGGUGAAGCCAGAGGAAACUCUGGUGGAGGCUCGCAGCGGUUCUGACGUGCAAAUCGAUCGUCAAAUUUGGGUAUAGGGGCGAAAGACUAAUCGA